UACGGGGGGAGCAAGCGUUGUUCGGAUUUACUGGGCGUAAAGGGCGCGUAGGCGGUCGUGACAAGUCACUUGUGAAAUCUCCGGGCUUAACUCGGAACGGUCAAGUGAUACUGUCGGACUAGAGUACAGAAGGGGCAACUGGAAUUCCCGGUGUAGCGGUGAAAUGCGCAGAUAUCGGGAGGAACACCAAUGGCGAAGGCAGCUUGCUGGGACGGUACUGACGCUGAGACGCGAAAGCGUGGGGAGCAAACAGG
rnacentral:rRNA from 1 species